GAUUUUGUUUUUCGACUCGCAGCAAAUGGGAGGCUACUAAAGAGGCUGUUAUAUGGUUGCAGAGAAAGCUCCCCUUGAUCGACAUUGAAAUGUCGAAUAAGCUUACUUAUGAAAAUGAGAAACUCAAGGAUGAGGGCUUACUGUCUUGGACGAAACUGAAGAUGCACUUUUAUGUUUUGGGUUAUAUGGAAAACCAAUACAUUUCAGGUAGUUUCCUUGAAAAGUCUUAGUGUAAGAUCUGGAAUACAUGCGUCACGCAGUUGAAGUUGUGCCAGGUUGCAGAUAACUUCAUAAAAGCUGGUGGCUUAUUUGUGGUGGUGGAGGUGCAGGUUUUGGAGGAGGAUGAGGAGGCAGUGGUGGUGGCUAGCAGCGGUUGUUGGGCCUAGACAGAUGCAUGUAACUCUCAAUUA